AUUCCAGCUCCAAUAGCGUAUAUUAAAGUUGUUGCAGUUAAAAAGCUCGUAGUUGGAUGUUGGGUUCUAGUUAUGUUCGGUCUCUUCUAGAGUACUGUCAUGCUGGCCCUUUUUCUCGAGGCCUAUAGGUGCACUUAACCGUGUGUUUAUAGUGUUCGGGACUUUUACCGUGAGAAAAUUAGAGUGUUCAUAGCAGGCUAGUGCUUGAAUAUUACAGCAUGGAAUAAUGGAAUAGGAUCAUGAUCUUAUUUUGUUGGUUUCUAAGAUUAAGAUAAUGAUUAAUAGGGAUAGUUGGGGGGCAUUAAUAUUUAGUUGUCAGAGGUGAAAUUCUUAGAUUUACAAAAGAUUAACUUCUGCGAAAGCAUUUGCCAAGGAUGUUUUCAUUG
rnacentral:rRNA from 1 species